AUGCCCUAAACUUAGGAGUACAAAAAUAGUAAUUUUCUGUGGUGCCAGAGUUCUCAAUGCUUACAUGAGAUGAAGUCUGGAGCAAGUAAAAGGUUGCCUCUUAGGUGACCCAACCACAUUUUGGGAUGCCUGGCUUUGUGAUCCUCCAG
rnacentral:snRNA from 1 species